rnacentral:rRNA from 1 species
GAUGAACGCUGGCGGCGUGCUUAACACAUGCAAGUCGAGCGAGAAUUAGAUACCUGAAGUUUCGACAGAAGGUAUCUAAGGAAAGCGGCGGACGGGUGAGUAACGCGUGGGUAACCUUCCUUAUACAGGGGGAUAACAUAUUGAAAAGUAUGCUAAUACCGCAUAGGUUUCUUGGUCGCAUGAUCGAGAAAGGAAAGACGGCCUUUGUGCUGUCGCUUAUGGAUGGACCCGCGGCGUAUUAGUUAGUUGGUGAGGUAACGGCUCACCAAGACGAUGAUACGUAGCCGACCUGAGAGGGUNAUCGGCCACAUUGGGACUGAGACACGGCCCAAACUCCUACGGGAGCAGC